GCAGUAGCCACGGGAAUACGUAGGUGGCAAGCGUUGUCCGGAAUUAUUGGGCGUAAAGCGCGCGCAGGUGGUUUAAUAAGUCUGAUGUGAAAGCCCACGGCUCAACCGUGGAGGGUCAUUGGAAACUGUUAAACUAGAGUGCAGGAGAGGAAAGUGGAAUUCCUAGUGUAGCGGUGAAAUGCGUAGAGAUUAGGAGGAACACCAGUGGCGAAGGCGGCUUUUUGGCCUGUAACUGACACUGAGGCGCGAAAGCGUGGGGAGCAAACAGGAUUAGAUACCCGCGUAGUCCCUGUCUCUUAUAC
rnacentral:rRNA from 1 species